UACGUAGGCAGCGAGCGUUGUUCGGAAUUAUUGGGCGUAAAGAGUGCGUAGGCGGUGCUCUAAGUUUGGUGUGAAAUCUCCCGGCUUAACUGGGAGGGUGCGCCGAAGACUGGAGUGCUUGAGUGUGGGAGAGGAAAGCGGAAUUCCUGGUGUAGCGGUGAAAUGCGUAGAUAUCAGGAGGAACACCUGCGGUGUAGACGGCUUUCUGGACCGCGACUGACGCUGAGGCACGAAAGCGUGGGUAGCAAACAGG
rnacentral:rRNA from 1 species